CAACCCUCAAGCUUUUGCUUGGUAUUGGGCUUCAUCCGCCUAAGGAUGUGCCUAAAACUCAUAGGCGGUUGCACUUAGCUCCCUUGCGUAGUUAUUAUUUUUCUCGCUUGGAAAUUUAGGUGUAACCCGCCUGAGAACCCCCCAUAUUUCUCAAG
rnacentral:misc_RNA from 1 species